AUUGAACGCUGGCGGCAUGCUUUACACAUGCAAGUCGAACGGCAGCACGGGAGCUUGCUCCUGGUGGCGAGUGGCGAACGGGUGAGUAAUGCAUCGGAACGUACCCAGUAGUGGGGGAUAGCCCGGCGAAAGCCGGAUUAAUACCGCAUAUUUCCUGAGGGAGAAAGCGGGGGACCUUCGGGCCUCGCGCUACUGGAGCGGCUGAUGUCGGAUUAGCUAGUUGGUGAGGUAAAGGCUCACCAAGGCGACGAUCCGUAGCUGGUCUGAGAGGAUGAUCAGCCACACUGGGACUGAGACACGGCCCAGACUCCUACGGGAGGCAGCAGUGGGGAAUUUUGGACAAUGGGGGAAACCCUGAUCCAGCCAUGCCGCGUGAGUGAAGAAGGCCUUCGGUUGUAAGACU
rnacentral:rRNA from 1 species